GUGUGCCCUCCCUCAUCUAUCUGUUGUGCGGCGCUGCGCCGCUCCCGUACAGGUGUGCGCGCCUCCCUCUCUGUCAUGAUGCCGAGGUUGUCUCAUCGGAGCAGUUGGCGGAGGUCAUGCCAUCCCGUCGGUGCCUACCAGUCCUCGCCCCAACCCUACAACGGUCGCCGAGAUAAGUACCUCCCCUCCCUCCACUGCCCGUCCCCUCCCUCCACUGCCUCGUCCAUCUCACCUCAACACCAAACCCUAGCAGCACUUUGAUUUGCUCUCUUCUCCCGCCUUCCAAGACCAAAACAUGGAGAUUUGCACCGCGAUGGCCUCAUGUGACCUAGGAGGGUAAAGGUUAAAUAGCAGCAGCCGCCAGCCGGAUUGAGGCCUUUCAAGGUUCUGCUAGCAGUGCAGAAAAAAGAUGAACCCUUACUGAAUCAGUCAUGUUGCAAGGAGAAGAGUUUCUGUCUGCCGUUGCCUAAAUCUUCAUGUGGUUGCUGCCUUGGUAUUGCAAAGGUGAAUUCUUGCUACUUAGAACAGAGUGGUGAACAAAUAUUUUAUUUUUCAAUUAUUGACAUAAAGAGUAAUCAAACAGUCAAAUUGUACAAACUCUUAGAAAAAUGAUAGUGCCAUAUGACUGCCAGUUUUUACAUGUUUUACCUAUGAUUUCUUCAAACCUUUUCUUUAAUUCUACACAAGCCUCUAGGUUUCUAGCUUUAGAGGUCACGAUUUCAUAGUGUCAACAACUUCAGAUGAGACAAGUAGAUCAGCUACAGAUAGCUAUACUUUUAUCAAAAAGUAAUAUCUUUAUUAGUCCUCACCAAUUUAUACAUUUGCUACAUCACAAUAUUUAUAAAAUUAAAUCUAAAUAUAAUUUUUUUAUUGACCAAAGAAUCUUUCUGCACUUAGCCUUGCAAAAAUAUUUUUGGUUUAGGUACUGCUGCCAUGUUUGCAUGUCCUCCUGCUUAUACACAGUAGAUAUCAUCCCUGCUAUUUUCUUCACAUACCAUCUUUUUAUAUCAGACUUGAUAUUUUCUUCACAUAUGAUCUUUGCUAUUUUCUCUAUGCCUUGUACAAAUUGUCAUUACACCUGUGCGACGUAGCCACUGGUCAUGCAUGCUUCUGAUGGCUUUUUUAAUCAACAUCAGAUUCUCAUCCAAACAUGCCAACCUCCUAAAAAUACUAUAAUCGUUGUAAACAUAUUGAAUUGUUGUUUCAUGUUACCUUCAAAUUAUUUUAAAACUAACAAUUGUUCUUGAUAACUACAUUUGCAAUUCUAGCAGCGGUGCUUAGAAUGAAGACGCGGAUCAGCUCAUUCUGGGUUUUCACAGUUGCAGCCAUUCCUUGACCUGCAUCUGAUGAAUUGCUACUACAUGCAAUAUAUUAAGUUGUUUCAACCUAAUGCUCGGCAUCAACUAACUCUCUUUUGUAUACUUUUAUGGCCGCAAAUUGUGCCAUUUCUACAUCCUUUAAUAUAAUAUUACUCGCUUUUAUUUGGAUUAGUAUUCUGAGCUACCUACAAAAAUGUUUGGUACUGCUACUAAUACUGAUCCUCAAUUGUAAUAUAUAGCUUAACAGAACCAAUCGUCUGCACAUGGCAUUCAAUUAGUACUACUGCUGCUGUUAAGAUAUAUAUUUGCAUUAGAUAAUUGCUGUCA